CCUAGUUCUGACGAAUUAGGCUCAGCUAUGCCGUGCUUUCAGCACU
rnacentral:ncRNA from 1 species